rnacentral:rRNA from 1 species
AUUGAACGCUAGCGGGGUGCUUUACACAUGCAAGUCGAACGAGUGGCGGACGGGUGAGUAAUAUAUCGGAACGUGCCCAAUAGCGGGGGAUAACUACGCGAAAGAGUGGCUAAUACCGCAUACGAUUGGAGCGGGCGAUAUCGGAUUAGCUAGUGGGGGGGGUAAAGGCUCACCAAGGCAACGAUCCGUAGCUGGUUUGAGAGGACGACCGGCCACACUGGGACUGAGACACGGCCCAGACUCCUACGGGAGGCAGCAGUAGGGAAUCUUGGGCAAUGGGGGAAACCCUGACCCAGCCAUCCCGCGUGUAUGAGAAGGCCUUCGGGUUGUAAAGUACUUUUGGCAGAGAAGCGGUAUCUGCAGAAUAAGCCCCGGCUAACUACGUGCCAGCAGCCGCGGUAAUUC